rnacentral:lncRNA from 1 species
GCGGAGCCUACCACCUGCUCCCGAGGAGGGGGCGGCAAGGAGAGGGAGGGGGCGCAGCGGGGAGGAACGCCGGGGUGAACGUUGAAGGAGUGUUAGAGAUCCAAGCUUGGAAACCUGGCAAGGUUAGUUUUGUUCUAUUUGUUUAGAAAAGGCGCAGAGAGCGGCAGGGCUCUCUGCAUGCUGCUGAGUCAGAGCUUCGGAGGCAACUGGGAUCUGCCUCAGUUUCCUGGCCUGUAAAAUGGAUUAAUCAGGCAUGUCCCAGUUUCUCCUUCCCUGAGCUAUUGUGAGCCCAGUUGAGAUACUAUUUAAAGAAAAUGGAAAAAAAUUACAUGUGAGAAAGAAAAGGGAGUGGGAGCAACACAAAAAGACUGGAAGGAAAGAACCUGUGACCCUAUUAUCACUUGAAAAGUAAAAACUUCAAAAGUGAAUUUUCUCUUGAAAUUUCAAGUUUAAGUGAAAGC